rnacentral:tRNA from 1 species
GAGAGAGGCUCGACAGCAACGUUGACUGCUAAUUUUCGUCACCGUGGUUAAACUCCGCGGCUCACUCG